rnacentral:rRNA from 1 species
AUGGCACUAGGCACCCACGAGACCAUGGCACCAUGCCCUCGGUUCUUCCCCACGCGUAGCGCUUGCCGCCUCGCCGCACCCAGCGCCCAACGCCCACGAGCUCCAGGCGCAUCUCCUAGCAGCUCCUGCACGUCACCGUCGCCCAGCACCAGCAGCUCCUGCACGUCGCCAUCGCCCAGCACCAGCAGUUCCUCGACCCAGCGCCUCCAGCUCGCUACGCCCAUCGGCUCCUCUCCCAGGCUCGCUGCGCCUAGCGCCUCCUCGCCUAGGCCCCAACGCCUCCUCCCAGGCUGCAACAAAAUCAACAAAGAAGAUCAUUAG